rnacentral:lncRNA from 1 species
UUCUUUAGUCUUUAUAGAGCCAAAGCUUGACUUUACUAAACUAAUAAAUAAGGCUCGCACUAGGCACUUACCUUUUUUGGCUAUAGGGUUGGGGUGGCUUGCUGGGUGAGACUGAUAGAAAGAAAGGACGGGGGGCAACCAUGCAUGGUACUUCUCGACCCUGUCUCCGAGGGAUAGUUGAACUAGCGACUCAUGAAUGCUGCCAGGUUGGAUGAGCCAAUAACUUGAAGGCGUUUGGUC